UCAAAACUCUUCCGCAGUAGGAUACACUUCUGUCACAGAUUGUGUCGAACAAUGAACAUUAUGUUUCACCGGAUGUACAAAUCUGAAGCAUUCGGGUUGGCGUUUCCACUCGAGAACACCGAGUAGCGAUUGGAGGCUUUGUUGUAGGCACGUUAUUGGGGACAUGAGCAGAACCCCGGAAGGGUAAAAAUGGAGUCCCUAGAGAAAGCAAGUACAAGAUGGGUGUCAGGGAUGGAGCAGCAGUAUUAUCGUGAGGAGACAUGAGGCGAAAGAGGACGAAGAAGAGAGGAUGCAGGAGGUGAGCAAAUCUAAUUGAUAAAAGGCCAAUGAAUCGGCGUAUGCGAACAUGAGUAGAUGACCUUGAAAACAACAGUCAGACAUCUUGGAAGUCGUCUCCAGUUCUUAUUAUACCUCAGUGGUGCUUCCUUGCCAAAAGGAGGCUAUCGAGAAGAACCGUCUUCCAUUUGCCUUUUAACCAAUUGACACACUCUCCAAACACUCAACCUCGUAUCGGUCACAGAGGAAAGAGGACGUAGGAACGACUUUUGCCCAAAUGAGAGAACCCCAUGUAAUGCUCCUCGGUGCCAGGCUUAGAUAAAAAUUCACAUUCACUGUAGCUACAGAAAAAAACAUACAAAUUGUAUUGUUUUCCAUGACUUAUUGUAUGUAGUUAUUGUUUUCCAUGACUUAUUGUAUGUAGUUAUUGUUUUCCAUGACUUAUUGUAUGUAGUUAUUGUUUUCCAUGACUUAUUGUAUGUAGUUAUUGUUUUCCAUGACUUAUUGUAUGUAGUUAUUGUUUUCCAUGACUUAUUGUAUGUAGUUAUUGUUUUCCAUGACUUAUUGUAUGUAGUUAUUGUUUUCCAUGACUUAUUGUAUGUAGUUAUUGUUUUCCAUGACUUAUUGUAUGUAGUUAUUGUUUUCCAUGACUUAUUGUAUGUAGUUAUUGUUUUCCAUGACUUAUUGUAUGUAGUUAUUGUUUUCCAUGACUUAUUGUAUGUAUACAGUGAACAACAACUGUAAUAGACUCAGUGCAACAUCAACCAGUCAAGUAAUAAUGAUACAUUCAUCAAUCACCUUAUUAAGUUAAUAAAUAAUAAUAACAUAGAUAAUAAAUAAUCAAAUACAACAAAUAAAUAAACAAAUAAAUAAACACA